rnacentral:rRNA from 1 species
GAUGAACGCUGGCGGCGUGCCUAAUACAUGCAAGUCGAGCGAACAGACGAGGAGCUUGCUCCUCUGACGUUAGCGGCGGACGGGUGAGUAACACGUGGAUAACCUACCUAUAAGACUGGGAUAACUUCGGGAAACCGGAGCUAAUACCGGAUAAUAUAUUGAACCGCAUGGUUCAAUAGUGAAAGACGGUUUUGCUGUCACUUAUAGAUGGAUCCGCGCCGCAUUAGCUAGUUGGUAAGGUAAUGGCUUACCAAGGCAACGAUGCGUAGCCGACCUGAGAGGGUGAUCGGCCACACUGGAACUGAGACACGGUCCAGACUCCUACGGGAGGCAGCAGUAGGGAAUCUUCCGCAAAGGGCGAAAGCCUGACGGAGCAACGCCGCGUGAGUGAUGAAGGUCUUCGGAUCGUAAAACUCUGUUAUUAGGGAAGAACAAAUGUGUAAGUAACUAUGCACGUCUUGACGGUACCUAAUCAGAAAGCCACGGCUAACUACGUG